GGUUCGGGUAUUUUGUAGUUGAGCAUUCGCCUUGUGUGUUCACUGAUUAAUUUUGGCAUUAUUUGGUUAAGCUCGUUAAAACCAAAUUUAAAUACUCACCGGCAGUUUCGAGUGUAUUUAACUAGCAGGCAGUUUUACAACAAAUCAUUAACUAAUUAUAAAUAUUAUUAUUAUAAAAUGACAUACGCUGAUGUUGGGCCAAAAGUUGUCGAGUGGGUGUAUUAUGUCAAUAAAUUAAUGCUACGAUCUUAUGUAAAAUACAAUACAGACGACAGUGAUUUCUAAGUUCUUGGCAGUUCUAUACCUGAGCAUUAUAUCUACACACUACACACGAUCGUUCAGUAGUUCGGACUAUAUUGCUCUCGUGUCGAGCACAGACCCGGAUAGAAUGGAUUCUUGCCGGUUUCGCAGCGGGACGCGGCUCGCCCAACCUCAUAGACGGGCGCAUCCAAUGCGUAGAUGGAUGCGUAAUUACAGACCACAUUAUAGAUGUACACAUAGGGAUAAUCGGGACGUGUGAAACGCAAUAUGGAGCAGCCAAUGCGCGAGUUGCGGUCCACCACCAUUUCCGCAAAAUGACCAUAGUCCUCACUAAGGGAAUUGCAAAAGAAAUAUAAAUAUAUUUAAUUUAUAUUUCGAUUACUAGAAUAUUAUACUUACAAAUAUUGUGUGACACGAAA